rnacentral:misc_RNA from 1 species
UCCGGUUUAACACCGGCAGUCUCGUUAGAGUGCCCGGCCGAACCGCUGGCAACUAACGACAAGGGUUGCGCUCGUUGCGGGACUUAACCCAACAUCUCACGACACGAGCUGACGACAGCCAUGCAGCACCUGGACACCCAGUUCCCUUGCGGGCACAUCCCCAUCUCUGGGGACUUCCGGGGGGUUCCAACCCAGGUAAGGUUCUUCGCGUUGCGUCGAAUUGAACCACAUGCUCCACCGCUUGUGCAGGCCCCCGUCAAUUUCUUUGAGUUUUAAUCUUGCGACCGUACUUCCCAGGCGGCAUAUUUAGCGCGUUAGCUUCGCCACAAAAGGGGUCGAUUCCUCUUACAGCAAAUAUGCACCGUUUACGGCUAGGACUAC